GCUCUUUCAUCCAUUGGACUCCUUUUCCCUUGUCAGUAAAAUUCUAGCGAGAGAGACAAUCUUACAAAGCUUUAUUAUCCUGUUGCUAAAGUUGGAUACAAGCCAUAUAUAAUUACUAUUUCGUAUGCCAUACCAAAUGGAAGAAAACACAUGUACAAGUAAAAACCCACCCCUUUUAUUGAAGGAGUAAAACGGGUGGGGUGGAGAAAAGAAACACCCAAAGGCAGAGGCCAAAGCAACAAGUGCAAAAUCUAACGAUUCACGAGUUGUCACCCUCGCAUUUCCAAAAAUUUUCAACGCACUUGAUGCUACAUUGUAUCCCUAAUCCUAUCCUUUUUACAAAUUGGUACCAGAGUCUCGCAGAAAAGCAACAAAAGGCAUGGCAUGCGCCUGGACUCUAAUCUAGUACUAGUAGUUCUUUUGGAGCAGGCCAAUUCAAUGGCAAUGUCCAAAAGCAGACGCCAAACAUUAGGACGUCAAUGCCAUUACAUUUAUUCUUUUACAUUUCUUUCCUUCGGGAUCAUUCUUAAAAGAUAAAAUCGCAAGGAUCACAUGAAAGAAUUAUGGAAAUCCAAUAACACUUCCCCAUGUCAAUUUACUGCCCCUGCUCCACCAGGACAUCUCAAUUCCUGCUUUCUUUCUUCUCCUUAUUUUUUCCCCUGUACGAAAGUUGCUCUGCUCUCUGCACUACUCUUAUAACGGAAGCUUGAGAGAAACCCUGUUGCGUUUGACUUCGAGUUUCUCGAAAAUUCUUCCAGCCAUGCAAAUCCAAGGGAUAAAACCACAAAUGAAAAUGCCUCUUCCUAAUUCUUAUAUGCUACUGUACGUAUUAUGGCUUAUGGAGAAUUGGAAAUCCAAUUGCUCUACGUUGUUGUUUAACUUAGAGACGCGUGUAGGGGUUUCCACCCUGAUAGGUUGCUUUCUUUCUUUGCUUUUCUUUCACUCCUACUCCUACUACUUGCUUCUUUACAGGCUCGAUCCCCG
rnacentral:lncRNA from 1 species